rnacentral:rRNA from 1 species
AACGAACGCUGGCGGCAUGCCUAACACAUGCAAGUCGAACGAGACCUUCGGGUCUAGUGGCGCACGGGUGCGUAACGCGUGGGAAUCUGCCCUCUGGUACGGAAUAACUCAGGGAAACUUGAGCUAGUACCGUAUAAUGACUUCGGUCCAAAGAUUUAUCGCCUGAGGAUGAGCCCGCGUCGGAUUAGCUAGUUGGUGAGGUAGAGGCUCACCAAGGCGACGAUCCGUAGCUGGUCUGAGAGGAUGAUCAGCCACACUGGGACUGAGACACGGCCCAGACUCCUACGGGAGGCAGCAGUGGGGAAUAUUGGACAAUGGGCGAAAGCCUGAUCCAGCAAUGCCGCGUGAGUGAUAAAGGCCUUAGGGUUGUAAAGCUCUUUUGCCCGGGAUGAUAAUGACAGUACCGGGAGAAUAAGCCCCGGCUAACUCCGUGCCAGCAGCCGCAGUAA